UGGAGUUUAAACGGGUCACAUGCUUAUGUCACAGAUAAGAGGAACAUUUUAUUUUUAUUCAAUGGGGAUUUACAGAUUUUACUGGGCUCUUUUAACGUGAAAUAAAGCCACACUUUAGAGCGCCGCUUACUCUGCUCCAUGGGUGCAAUACAACAAGUGCCUGGCAGCUACG